CCUACGGGGCGCAGCAGUGAGGAAUAUUGGUCAAUGGACGAAAGUCUGAACCAGCCAUGCCGCGUGCAGGAAGACGGCUCUAUGAGUUGUAAACUGCUUUUGCACAAGGGUAAACCUGAAUACGUGUAUUCAGCUGAAAGUACUGUACGAAUAAGGAUCGGCUAACUCCGUGCCAGCAGCCGCGGUAAUACGGAGGAUCCAAGCGUUAUCCGGAUUUAUUGGGUUUAAAGGGUGCGUAGGCGGAAUGCCAAGUCAGCGGUAAAAUCGCGAGGCUCAACCUCGCUCCGCCGUUGAAACUGGCGUUC
rnacentral:rRNA from 1 species